rnacentral:rRNA from 1 species
UACGUAGGCAGCAAGCGUUGUUCGGAAUGACUGGGCGUAAAGAGUGUGUAGGCGGUGCUCUAAGUUCGGUGUGAAAUCUCCCGGCUUAACUGGGAGGGUGCGCCGGAAACUGGAGUGCUCGAGCGUGGGAGAGGAAAGCGGAAUUCCUGGUGUAGCGGUGAAAUGCGUAGAUAUCAGGAGGAACACCUGCGGUGUAGACGGCUUUCUGGACCAUUGCUGACGCUGAGACACGAAAGCGUGGGUAGCAAACAGG